UGUGUGUGUGUGUAUGUGUGUGUGUGUGUGUGUGUGUGUGUGUGUGUGUGUGUGUGUGUGUGUGUGUGUGUGUGUGUGUGUGUGUGUGUGAAUUGGCCUCAACAAGGGCCUUUUGUGUCUUGUUAUUGCAUCAGAUAGUGUGUCCGUACUACGGGGUACAAAGAGCCCCUAUCAACCUAGCUACUGUCCUCAGGCUCAGCUCUCACCUGUGGGCCAUUAGGAGAGAUGACUGGAGCCAAGCACAACUCAGUGAGGUAUCCUAUACAAACCGCAGCUAAACCCAAAGCUAGUGGUUUAAUAACUGCUUCAGCCGUUAGCAUUGGCCCUUUUGCCCUUCCUAUGAGGCUUCACCUCUAUUCCCCUAAUGGACUUGAACUCAGUCCUUUCUUCAAUGACAUUCUCAAUCCUAUUGUAUUCUGCAGGAGGGUGACUGGGGGCAGGGCAUCUAACGUGUCAUUUUUCCUCGUGUCGAUACGUGAUCCGUCAGGGUCCCUGUGUUCCAAGGCCUUCCUUACGUUAGAUCGUUUUCAAUAGCCAAGCCUGGUGAAAAGGCUGGCGUGUCCUCUUUCAUGGGAACUCCUGCGCCUGCAACCACACCAGCAUAAUACAGUAGCAUAAUGGUGGUGAAUGGAACCACUAUUACAUUAUGGCUCUAUCAAACACUGACCCAUGAUAUGACUAUAUUGUGAUAGAAGUGCUUAACUUAACAACAUGCUGGUCCUCUUUUAUGGACCUGUUUUAUUUCAAUAACUCAGGUCUUACCCAGGCAGGGAGCUAGGCUAGGAGGUCUCAGGUCUUACCCAGGCAGGGAGCUAGGCUAGAAGGUCUCAGGUCUUACCCAGGCAGGGAGCUAGGCUAGAAGGUCUCAGGUCUUACCCAGGCAGGGAGCUAGGCUAGAAGGUCUCAGGUCUUACCCAGGCAGGGAGCUAGGCUAGAAGGUCUCAGGUCUUACCCAGGCAGGGAGCUAGGCUAGAAGGUCUCAGGUCUUACCCAGGCAGGGAGCUAGGCUAGAAGGUCUCAGGUCUUACCCAGGCAGGGAGCUAGGCUAGAAGGUCUCAGGUCUUACCCAGGCAGGGAGCUAGGCUAGGAGGUCUCAGGUCUUACCCAGGCAGGGAGCUAGGCUAGAAGGUCUCAGGUCUUACCCAGGCAGGGAGCUAGGCUAGGAGGUCUCAGGUCUUACCCAGGCAGGGAGCUAGGCUAGAAGGUCUCAGGUCUUACCCAGGCAGGGAGCUAGGCUAGAAGGUCUCAGGUCUUACCCAGGCAGGGAGCUAGGCUAGAAGGUCUCAGGUCUUACCCAGGCAGGGAGCUAGGCUAGAAGGUCUCAGGUCUUACCCAGGCAGGGAGCUAGGCUAGAAGGUCUCAGGUCUUACCCAGGCAGGGAGCUAGGCUAGAAGGUCUCAGGUCUUACCCAGGCAGGGAGCUAGGCUAGAAGGUCUCAGGUCUUACCCAGGCAGGGAGCUAGGCUAGAAGGUACUCAGCCCUGCCACUGAAUCUGCACUUUCUUUUCACUUGCAGCAGAGUCUCUUGAAUAGCCAUUAUAUUGUAUUUAAUAUGUUAUGUUGUAAUGUGACAUACGUUUUCUUCAGAUUUAUUUAAAUUUGAACCCUUUUUUAAAUUCAUUAACAUGCUUCUCUUUUACGUGAUGUCAAGUCAUUUUAAUUGCUACAACCAUUUUUAUUUUACAUUAUUGAACCUUUAUUUAUUUAGGCAAGUCAAUUAAGAACAAAUUCUUAUUUACAAUGACAACCUAGGAACAGUGGGUUAACUGCCUUGUUCAGGAGCAGAAAACAGAUUUUAUUCCCUGUCAGCUCGGGGAUUUGAUCUAGCAGCCUUUCGGUUACUGGCCCAACACUCUAACCACUAGGCUACCUGCCUCCCCAAAAUAUAGUAAUUGACCACCAUUCUUUUAGGGAGAAUUAUAAAGUAUUAUAUUUUUUAGGAGGGGCCAUUGAAACCUGAUAGCCAGGAGGGGUGAAGGUGUCGAUUUCGCUUUUUGCAGCUUUAGAGGGCUUGACAUGACAUUUGUCUUUUCUCCUGCCCUUCCAAGGACAUGACACCAUCAUAUCCUCAUUCCACCUCUCUGUGAAAAAUGGUCAAAUAGCUCUCCAAUGUCAAAGCUUUUGAAUGUUCCGUUUUAGUACUGCAUCUAUACAAGUGAAUACCAGGGUUGUGUUGACAUGAAUGCUGGUAGGAGUGUGAGACUGAGAAGUGGGGAAGAGGUGGGAGGGGUGUGUUGUGAGGGUGCUGGGUGUGUAAUGUGUACGCAUAUGCAUGUAUGAGUGUGGUGUGGUGUGUGGGUGUUUGUGCGUCAGAUUUUUGUUGACUAUCUUGAUGUGUGCUGGGGGUGGGGUUGGUUUGUGUAGCGGGAUGGCGUGUGUGUGUGUGUGCGCGUGUAUGUGUGUGUGUCAGGUGCACCCCCUCCAGCUGGAGCAGAUGGAAUGCCUGCACACGCCGUGGCAUUACAUCAGCAAGACAAUUAGUUCAGUAACCUGACACAGCUCUCUCUUCUUCCUUCCACUCUGUCUCUUUCUCUGUCGCUCUCUCUCUGUCGCUCUCUCUCUGUCGCUCUCUCUCUGUCGCUCUCUCUCUCUCUAUCUCUCCAUCUCUCUUCUCUCUCUCUUUCCACACACACUCUCUCUUUUCCUCUCUCUCUCCCCUCUUUUUCUCUUCCCUCUCUCUCUCCCUCCCUCCCUCUCACUCACUCUCUCUCUACCUCCCUCUCAAUCUCCCUCCUCCCUCCCUCCCUCCCUCAAUCUCUCUCUUCCUCCCUCUCAAUCUCUCUCUUCUUCCCUCUCAAUCUCUCGCCCUCCCUCUCCAUCUCUCUCUUUCUCUCUCCCUUUCAAUCUCCCUCUCAAUCUCUCUCCCUCCCUCUCUAUCUCUCUCCCUCCCGCUCUAUCUCUCUCCUGGAGAGGGGGAAGUGGUGUGUUGUGUUGAGGUCGAUUAGGCAGCAGACCCGGAAAGGAAACAUCUCCCUUCCCUGAACACACGCUUCACUCCUCUUCACACACACACACACACACGCACACACACACGCACACACACACACACACACACACACACACACACACACACACACACACACACACACACACACACACACACACACACACACACACACACACACACACACACACACACACACACACACACACACACACACUCUCUCUCUCCUCACCCGCCAUGCAAAGCACUGCCAGCUAGGGACUGAUUAGGGGGAGCAGGUCGAUAAAAAAAGAGAGAAUAGAGAAAGGAUGAAAAAAGAGGAAAAGAACCUGACAGGCAUGCUAAUAGGGGCUGGUCGGUGUUCAGUCAAAGCAAUUAGAUCAGCGUGAAACACUGGCAGAGGGUUGGGAGGGUUGAAGUCAGGCGACGGUGUUGGCAGAGAUGGAUGUUUUCUCAUGCAUUGCAUACCAUGCCCAUGUAUGUAAAUAUAACUUCAUGAAGAGGGCUCUUGUACAUGUGUGCUCUCUCUUUACUUUGCCAGUGAAUGCAGGAAUAGAUCUUUUGAUACGGCCCCUUUUUAAACAGAUCUCACAUUUUAAUUGAUGUGUAGAUAUAUGAUGUGUAGUUAACGUGUUUAUUGUGUCAAUGAUCAUGUCAUAUCUCAACAUGUUAUUGUGUUGUGUCAUAUUUUGUACAUUAUCUGCUCAGACAGAGACUAUCCAAUGGGCACACAUUGGUUGAAUCAACGUUGUUUCCACGUCAUUUCAAUGAAAUUACAUUGAAGCAACAUAGACUUGACAUUCAAUUGACUUCUGUGCCCAGUGGGUAUAUUCUGCAUAGAAUAAAACCUUGCCAUCCAAUACACAUCCUAAACUUAUCCCUG